rnacentral:lncRNA from 1 species
AGAUGCAAGCAAUAUUGGGGGGGGGGCCAGGUCUGAGCCCCCACGUCGCUGGGGCUGGGAUGUGGGGGGGGUCGGUGUUUAACGGGGAGCCGGGGGGGGGGGGGGGGGCAUGGAGGGGGUUAUGGGCUCUGUGGGGUGAUUGGGUCGGGAUUGGGGGGGUUCGGUUCGGUUCUGAUGUGGGGAGGGGGCCCCAUCUUUGGGGGGGGCACCGGGACCCAACCGGGGUGGGGGGGUCGGUAGCAGCGGAGCUUCGGGUCGGGCAGCACCGGGUACCGGUAGAACCACGUUCCCGUUGUGUUGGGCCGGAGGUUCGGUGCUGUUCGAGGUGCCGGUACCGGCUCCGGGAGGUGUUCGGUGUCCGGUACCGGCCGCUCACGGGAAGCUCCUGGUCUCUGAUUCUCGGUACCGAGCUCAGCACCGAGCUCGUCCUGUCGGUCCCGUAGGUACCCGAAGGUGAGCGGUUCGGUACCGGCCCAUCAUUCCCGGUAUCACUCGGUACCGGCCCAUCAUUCCCGGUAUCACUCGGUCCCGGCCCAUCAUUCCCGGUAUCACUCGGUACCAGCCCAUCAUUCCUGGUAUCAUUCGGUACCGGCCCAUCAUUCCCGGUAUCACUCGGUCCCGGCUCAUCAUUCCCGGUAUCUCUCGGUACCGGGCCGUCGGUACUGGUAUCACUCGGUACCGGUCCAUCAGUCCCAGCCCAUCAUUCCCGGUAUCACUCGGUCCCAGUAUCACUCGGUCCCGGCCCAUCAUUCCCGGUAUCACUCGGUCCUGGUCCGUCAGUCCCAGCCCAUCAUUCCCAGUAUCACUCGAUCCCGGCCCAUCAUUCCCGGUACCACUCGGUCCUGGUAUCUCUCGGUCCCGGUAUCACUCAGUCCCGUUCCGUCGGUCCCGGCCCAUCAUUCCCGGUAUCACUCGGUCCCGGCCCAUCAUUCCUGGUAUCACUCGGUCCCGGUAUCACUCGGUCCCGUCCCAUUAUUCCCGGUAUCUCUCGGUCCCGUUCCGUCGGUCCCGUUCCGUCGGUCCCGGUAUCUCUCGGUCCCGGUAUCACUCGGUCCCGUUCCGUCGGUCCCGGUCCAUAAUUCCCCCCCCCCCCCAAAGGGUUAACGUCUCUCCCCGAAGUUGCCGGGCGGUGUCUCUGUUCGGAUUGGCCCGAAGUUGCCGGGGCGGGGCGGUUCGGACCGGGCCGUGCCGUGCUGUACCGUACCGGGCCGCCCCCCCCCCCCAGGGCCCCCGCCCCCCGUCGCCCCCUCCCCGUCGUCCGGCGGCGGAGCCAUGCGCCCCGCUCCGCUGCUCGGGCUGUUGCUUUGGGCUCCGUUGUUUUGGGUUCCGCCGCCUCCGGUUCGGGGCCGCCGUCACGGAGUCUAUUGGAACGGGAGUAACCCCAGGUAAAAAAGAACCGGGCGGUACCGGAACCGAAUCGAACCGAAUCGGGUUGUUCUUUGUGUGAGAUCGGGAUUAGAGCGAUUCGGUGCUGUUCUAACCGGUUCCGUUUACGUUGAUUUAAGUCCGGUACCUGAGACCGGACCGGAACCGACACCGAACCGAACCGACGGGACGGACCGGGAGCGGGGGAGGUGUGUGUGUGUGUGGGGGGGGUUGGACGGUACCGAACCGCGGGGGUUCGGGGCAGCUCCGGUGGUACCGGGAGGAGGCGGAGGUCGGUCCCGGUGACGCCGUGGGGCAGCUCCCGGUGACGCGGAGGUGACGGGGAACACGUUUAUAUUAAGGGGGGGGGGGAGGGGUUGUUUUUGGACCGGACCGAAACCCGAACCCCCCCCGAUCCCGGUUCGUUCCGGUUCGUCUCCCGUGUGGCACCGCGACCCCCCCCCCAUAAUACACACACACAGCGACCCCCAUUGAUCCAAUGGGGGCAAUAAGGGGGGGGGGGGGGCCGAUGGAGCAUCUCUGUCCCCACGGCUGCGAACUGGGGGGUCGUGUUGGGUUGCCCCCCCCCCCCCCCCCAACCUCUCAUUCCGCAUUUUGGGGGGGGGUCUGUGCUCAACCUCAUCCUUUAACCCCCCCCACCCCAUUAACUCUUUGGC